rnacentral:rRNA from 1 species
UGCCAGCAGCGCGGUAAUACAGAGGGUGCAAACGUUGCUCGGAAUGACUGGGCGUAAAGCGCGCGUAGGCGGUGAGUUAAGUCGACUGUGAAAGCCCAUGGCUCAACCAUGGAAGCGCAUUCGAAGCUGGCUCGCUGGAGUCCCGGAGAGGGUGGUGGAAUUCCUAGUGUAGAGGUGAAAUUCGUAGAGAUUAGGAGGAACACCGGUGGCGAAGGCGACCACCUGGCCAAAUACUGACGCUGAGGUGCGAAAGCGUGGGGAGCAAACAGGAUUAGAUA